rnacentral:rRNA from 1 species
UACGAAGGGGGCUAGCGUUGCUCGGAAUCACUGGGCGUAAAGCGCACGUAGGCGGACUCUUAAGUCGGUGGUGAAAUCCUGGAGCUCAACUCCAGAACUGCCUUCGAUACUGAGAGUCUCGAGUCCGGGAGAGGUGAGUGGAACUGCGAGUGUAGAGGUGAAAUUCGUAGAUAUUCACAAGAACACCAGUGGCGAAGGCGGCUCACUGGCCCGGUACUGACGCUGAGGUGCGAAAGCGUGGGGAGCAAACAGG